rnacentral:rRNA from 1 species
CCUACGGGUGGCAGCAGUGAGGAAUAUUGGUCAAUGGCCUUAAGCCUGAACCAGCCAAGUCGCGUGAGGGAAUAAGGCCCUAUGGGUCGUAAACCUCUUUUGUCAGGGAGCAAAGGCGUCCACGUGUGGACGAGAGGAGAGUACCUGAAGAAAAAGCAUCGGCUAACUCCGUGCCAGCAGCCGCGGUAAUACGGAGGAUGCGAGCGUUAUCCGGAUUCAGUGGGCUUAAAGGGAGCGUAGGCGGACGUGCAAGUCAGCUGUAAAAUCGCGCGGCUCAACCGCGCCCCGCAGUUGAAACUGGACGCCUUGAGGUGACAACAGGCAGGCGGAAUGCGUGGUGUAGCGGUGAAAUGCAUAGAUAUCACGAGGAACCCCGAUUGCGAAGGCAGCCUGCCGGGGUGCGACUGACGCUGAGGCUCGAAGGUGCGGGUAUCAAACAGGAUUAGAUACCCGUGUAGUC